AGUUAAACUGUUAAGUAGUUUAUAGUGCACAAACCAGUGUGUAACUUGUGUCUUAUGAUUGUUUGCACGACAAUCAGUGAGAAGAGUGACAGGCUGCAUAUUGAGAAAUG